CUGUUCCCUGCUCUCUCAAGCCAUUCUGGACUUACAGAAAGGUCCGCUCUGCUUUCCCCAGAGACCUCAAUUAUAACACAGAGCCCGAGGCAAAGCUUAAGUGCUUACACUUUUUCCGGAGGUACAGACCCAGCUCUGCGAGAGCCAGGGGAAAAGGAAGAGAGGCAGGGAAGGAAUGGCAGCAAGUACAAGGUGAUGAAUGACUGCACUGGUCAUUGCUUCAUGAAGAGCCAUGAAUAAACAGAGCUGGUUUCUCAGCAGGUGGCUGGCUGCUCAGUCACAAAGGACCUCUUUGGGCAGGCUUUAUGGAAAUACUGUGCCUGGGACAGUCCCUCAAAGGCAGGAGGGAGAGAAAAUGCAUCUGCAAGCUCACUUUGCCUUCUAUCUUCUGCUCAUCAAAAUGUGCUGGCUGGAGCAGUUAAUGCCCACACACAUCCAGGUUGUGUCACCUGGCCCCUUUGGUAGCCACUGGGGAAGCCAGAUCUGGGCACGUGGCCUGAUGGCUGCUGCGGUGGAACCACAUGCACACAUUCGGUCAGUCACCACUGGGAUGGCCUGGUCAGGGCAGGCUGAGUGGCUGGGAGACUGCUGAGCCUAUGAUAGCUAAGCAAGCACCUGUGAUGUAUGCACUGCAGUGUCUAAAUGUGAAAAAGCAAGAAAGCAUAUUUUUUUCUGGAGAGAAGGAGGAAACCACCAGGAGAAUACAAACAGAAAAAAGACUGCUAGCUCCAUGAGGACAAGAACUUUGUAUGACUUUUUCAUGAUGGAUGUUCAUCUGUGCCAGCUGUAAAUAUUUAACAAAUACUUGUGGAAUACACGAAUCCAAAAGUGAGUGGAAUGGUAAAGAGGGAAAGGAUCAUGACAUCUACUACAGCAUUUGGCACAGACCCAGGUAAAUAAGAUAAAGCUUCUAAGUCACUUCUCCUCUUCGAAUCAUGGAAUGUAUUGUGUCAGACCUCAACAAUCAGCUGUGGACUUUUUAAAAAGGAAAAUUAGAUAUGGAUUUAUUACCUGAGCAUUUGCCAUUGUCAAAAUGUGUAGAUGUUACCCCAUUCACUAGUUUUCUCUCGUAAGGAAGCAUUUCUCUAAUGGUGAUCUUCCACCCACCUGUCUUAGAGUCACUGGGGUGAUGGUUAUAAUGAAACCAGCUUCCUCACCCCUAGAUCAAAUGAAUUAGCAGUUCUAGGGAUGUAGCUCAGGAUCCUCCAUUUAAAUAAGCAUCUAAAGUAAUUUUCAUGCAUGUAAAAAUCUGAAAGCCACCAUUCCUAUUUCUUUGGCAACUUCAGACCAAAGCUUCUCUCCAUACUUCUUCUCUGAGUCUUCUCUCAGUCUCUAUGCUCCUCAACCAUCUCUCCCUUUGCUAGGCUGCUGGAUUCCUAUUGAAUGUGCUUACUUGUUUUCUUUUUUUUUUCUUUUUCUUUUUUAUUUUUUUUGAGACG